rnacentral:rRNA from 1 species
AACGAACGCUGGCGGCAUGCCUAACACAUGCAAGUCGAACGAGACCUUCGGGUCUAGUGGCGCACGGGUGCGUAACGCGUGGGAACCUGCCCUUAGGUUCGGAAUAACUCCCCGAAAGGGGUGCUAAUACCGGAUAAUGUCUUCGGACCAAAGAUUUAUCGCCUUUGGAUGGGCCCGCGUUGGAUUAGCUAGUUGGUAGGGUAAAAGCCUACCAAGGCGACGAUCCAUAGCUGGUCUGAGAGGAUGAUCAGCCACACUGGGACUGAGACACGGCCCAGACUCCUACGGGAGGCAGCAGUGGGGAAUAUUGGACAAGGGGAGAAAGCCUGAUCCAGCAAUGCCGCGUGAGUGAUGAAGGCCUUAGGGUUGUAAAGCUCUUUUACCCGGGAUGAUAAUGACAGUACCGGGAGAAUAAGCUCCGGCUAACUCCGUG